GAGAGCAUAGCUCAGCCGGUAGAGCAACGGCCUUUUAAGUCGUAGGUCGAGGGUUCGAUCCCCUCUGCUCUCACCA
rnacentral:tRNA from 1 species